UCCCUGAUGGUCUAGCCGGUUAGGAUUCCUGGCUCUCACCCAGGCGCCCCGGGUUCGACUCCCGGUCAGGGAA
rnacentral:tRNA from 1 species